rnacentral:sRNA from 1 species
UCAAUAAUAUGACUCGUCUCUGGGGAUGA